GCAGCCUUUCUAGAAGGCGAAGCCCGGGCAGCAGCGGAGAGCUCGGCGGAGGACGCCAGUGGGCGAGGGCCAGGGAAAGAUGGGAAAGAAUGUAGAAAAUGUGGACAUGAUAAGGUGGAAGGGAGGAAAGGGACUGAGCAGAAAUAUGAAGGGAAAAAGAAGAGGUAUAAACUCAGAAAGGAAAUGAGGGUGGAAGGUCCUCUCUGUUUGACCCCCAAUGCUUGGCUCAGUGAGGGCUGGAAGUGGGUUGUGUGGACGUUGAGUGAAUGCUGUGUGAGAGAGAAAAGGAAGAAGUGAACAGUAGAAAGAAGAGCCCAGCCGAGGGCACAGGGAGGUGGCAUAGAGAAGCUAGGGAUAGCCGUGGGUGGAAAGAAGAGAAAGUCACCUGGAUUAUCCCAAAAGCCUCCUAAAUGGCCCCCCUGCAUCUCCCCUUGCCGGGACCCCUAAGUGGAUUCUCGACACAAAAACCAGUAACUGUCUCUCCCUCACCACCCACUACUGCUGUCUGUUUUGUACACUGAUGUAUCUCAAGUGCCUAGGACAGCGCCUGGUACAUCAUAGGUGAUCCCUAAGUAUUUCUUGAAUGAAUGAAUGGAGCAUGAAAGGUACCCAGGAAAGGAGGCUGGUCAAGUGGAGAAGUGGGAGUGGCUUUCUUUAGGUGUGGCUGCUUCAGGGAUCAAAGGUAUGGAAGAGUGGCUGCAGAAGGACACAAGCAGCCUCAACUCUGGGGACCACCAUGGUCCUGGUCCCUGAGCUGCUCCUGCACCCUGGGCAGUUGUGCAGGACCAGGGACAGGAGGAGGGGCAAGGACUCACCCCGACUGCAGGAGCCCCGGUGGAUAGAGAGGGCGUCCAGGGCAAUGUCCAGGUAGGCAGUGUUGCCCCUCAUUCCCUCAAACAUCAGCUGUGGGAGGGCAACAAGGGGGUCCUCAGUCCUGUGAGCCUCUUGGCCAGGCCUCCUGUGCCUUUGCCACUGGCUCCGGGUUCCCUUCCCCACUUGAGAUGCUCUGGCCCGCAUGCCCCUUCCUCGCCACAGCUCCCCAGGCUCCCAACACCCAGAUUCCCACCAGGGCCCCAGGAUCUGCCCUUGGCCUCACCUGGGUGGGCAGAGAAAGCCCCGCGGGUAUAGUGACAGCGGUGGGCGUCCAAGAGGGGCUCUGGGUGUGCCUGUGUUUCCAGAGCACACUGGGGCGCUUGCCCUGUGCACUCGACAGCAGCAGCAGUCGGAGCUGGGCGCCCCGCGACAGCCCGAACAUGUGGUAGACGAAGCGCACACAGAGGGGCCCUUGCACCCAUAGGUAAGGGCUGAGCAGGCGGGCCACUCCGCCCCGGCGGAAGGUGCUCGAUACCAUGUGCAGGUAGUUGCCCUCUGGGGGAAGCAGGGCCCGGGCUGUGAGGCCCUGCCAUCCCAAGUGCUGGCCCCACACCCCCCCUUCCCUUCUCAGAGCCUGACGUCACUUCCCACUGUCUUCUGCUUCCAGACCUGCACGUGCCCCCCUCCCAGUGGCCUCCCUGCCCACUCUGCUCCCCAAACUUCAGGCUCCCCUUGGUCCCCUCACCUCCAUUGGGGUAUCCCCCAGGGGGCCCAGUGGUGCCAAUGAUGGAGGGCCCGCUGGCUCGAAUCCAGUCCCCAUCAUCUGCAGACACCUGGGACCAGUCACAGAGGGGUUUGGACUCAUCCUCAAAAUCACACCGGCUGAGGAGGUCUAGGAAGAAAGGGCCGCUGUGAGGAUUCGGAGAGGGGAGAGGGCAGAGGGCAGGCCACAGAGCCGAACUGGGAGAUGGAAGUUGGCAGGAUUGCUGAGCUUAGAGAAGGCUGCCACUAAGAUUUGGGGUCCAGAACAGAGAUUUGAGAGAGAAACUCCUUUAGGAGAA